GACGUAGGGCGCGAGCGUUGUCCGGAUUUAUUGGGCGUAAAGAGCUCGUAGGCGGCUUGUUGCGUCGACUGUGAAAACCCGCGGCUUAACUGCGGGCUUGCAGUUGAUACGGGCAGGCUAGAGUUCGGUAGGGGAGACUGGAAUUCCUGGUGUAGCGGUGAAAUGCGCAGAUAUCAGGAGGAACACCGGUGGCGAAGGCAGUUCUCUGGGCCGUAACUGACGCUGAGGAGCGAAAGCGUGGGGAGCGAACAGGA
rnacentral:rRNA from 1 species